AACGAACGCUGGCGGCAUGCCUAACACAUGCAAGUCGAACGAGACCUUCGGGUCUAGUGGCGCACGGGUGCGUAACACGUGGGAAUUUGCCUCGGGGUAUGGAAUAACUCAGGGAAACUUGAGCUAAUACCAUAUAAUGUCUUCGGACCAAAGAUUUAUCGCCCUGAGAUAAGCCCGCGUAGGAUUAGCUAGUUGGUGAGGUAAAGGCUCACCAAGGCGAUGAUCCUUAGCUGGUCUGAGAGGAUGAUCAGCCACACUGGGACUGAGACACGGCCCAGACUCCUACGGGAGGCAGCAGUGGGGAAUAUUGGACAAUGGGCGAAAGCCUGAUCCAGCAAUGCCGCGUGAGUGAUGAAGGCCUUAGGGUUGUAAAGCUCUUUUACCCGAGAUGAUAAUGACAGUAUCGGGAGAAUAAGCUCCGGCUAACUCCGUGCCAGCAGCCG
rnacentral:rRNA from 1 species